ensembl:lncRNA
AAACAAGUGGGGGAAGGGAGACUGAAAGUGCCUGUUACACCCAGUCUCGCUCCCAUAAUUACCCAAACUGCCUGCAUCCCCGCCGUAGGACAGGGUUUUCUACGGGACAAGAAAGGAAAACCAGGGAGGUGAGAGCCAGGAAAUCGGGAGAGGUGCCUUUCCCGGCAUGCUCUGCAGCACACCGAGGGGCGCCAGACAUAUCCCGGCGUGCAUCGGGGAGCGCCCAAGGGCGAUGGUUCCCGGCUCCUGGAGGGGCACGCGAAGUUAAAGCGGUAGGUGUGACCUUACUUAGUUUUGAGUCCCUGCUUUCUCGUUUCCACUUUAGGAAUAUAAUCUCAUGACGGCUGAAAAGGAGGUCUUCUAACUACCCUCCCUUUCCGCGUGCGAACGACUUUCGGCGCCGCUUCGAGAACGGUGCCAGGUGAUUAGCGGUUAGGGGCGGGCCCGAGCUGAUCACGUGAUCAAACCUGGCCGCCAAUGAUUAGCCGGGUGUUCCAGCAGCGCGAGGAUUCCCGGACCCGUGUGCGGAGCGGCUCGUGGGCCCGCUGCGGUCGGCCCUGGCAGUACAUGAACAUAUGGAUCAUUAGCUGAGAUUUUUAGGAUUUUUUUAAUGGAGGACAAUCUUGUUCAGAACUCAUCUUAGAAGUCAGAGUCUCAGGGAAGUUAGAGUUCUGCUGUUCAGACCUCCAUCAUUGUAUUUAUUUGACUAUAUUAAAA